CCCUUAACUAUUAAAAGUUUCGUUUUGGUCCCUUAACCUAUUUUUUGGUUUCGUUUUGAUCCCUUAACUUAUUUUUUGAUUUCAUUUUGGUCCCUUAACUCUAAUACAUUCAUCCUAACAUAAAGGACCAAAGUGGUUGACAGAGGAAAAGUUAAGGGACCAAAACGAAACCAAAAAGUAAGUUAAAGGACCAAAACGAAACUUUUAAUAGUUAAGGGACCAAAACGAAACCAAAAAGUAAGUUAAGGGACCAAAAUGAAACUUUUAAUAGUUAAGGGA
rnacentral:pre_miRNA from 1 species